rnacentral:tRNA from 1 species
GGAGGGGUGGGCGAGCGGUCUAAACCACCGGUCUGGAGAACCGGUGCAUCCCUAAAGGGUGCCGUGGGUUCAAAUCCCACCCCCUCCGCCA